AUUGAACGCUGGCGGCAGGCCUAACACAUGCAAGUCGAACGGCAGCACAGAAGAGCUUGCUCUUUGGGUGGCGAGUGGCGGACGGGUGAGUAAUGUCUGGGAAACUGCCCGAUGGAGGGGGAUAACUACUGGAAACGGUAGCUAAUACCGCAUAACGUCGCGAGACCAAAGUGGGGGACCUUCGGGCCUCACACCAUCGGAUGUGCCCAGAUGGGAUUAGCUAGUAGGUGGGGUAAUGGCUCACCUAGGCGACGAUCCCUAGCUGGUCUGAGUGGAUGACCAGCCACACUGGAACUGAGACACGGUCCAGACUCCUACGGGAUGCAGCAGUGGGGAAUAUUGCACAAUGGGCGCAAGCCUGAUGCAGCCAUGCCGCGUGUAUGAAGAAGGCCUUCGGGUUGUAAAGUACUUUCAGCGGGGAGGAAGGCGGUGAGGUUAAUAACCUUGCAGAUUGACGUUACUCGCAGAAGAAGCACCGGCUAACUCCGUGCCAGCCGCCGCAGUAA
rnacentral:rRNA from 1 species